GACGAACCGUGCGAACGUUGUUCGGAAUCACUGGGCUUAAAGGGCGCGUAGGCGGACCAUCAAGUCAGGGGUGAAAUACUUCGGCUUAACCGGAGAAUGGCUUCUGAUACUGGUGGUCUUGAGGGGUGUAGGGGCAUGUGGAACUCAGGGUGGAGCGGUGAAAUGCGUAGAUAUCCUGAGGAACGCCGGUGGCGAAAGCGACGUGCUGGACACCUUCUGACGCUGAGGCGCGAAAGCCAGGGGAGCAAACGGG
rnacentral:rRNA from 1 species